rnacentral:tRNA from 1 species
AGAACGCUAGUUAAACUAUAACCUAAGCCUGUCACGCUUAUAUUGCCCUAUGGGCGCUUUCUA